rnacentral:lncRNA from 12 species
CCCCCUGAGAUCCCAGAUCCAAAGUAACCCCUGAGCCCUCCCCGAGUAUCCUGAGACCCCAAACCCAAAUUAAUCCCAGAGCCCUCUCUGAGUGCCCUGAGACCCUGACCCAAAUUAACUCCAGUGUCCUUCCUGAGUGCCCUGUGACCCUAGAUCCAAAUUAACUCCAGAGCCUUCCCCGAGUAUUCUAAGUUCUCAGAUGGAAAUUAAUCUCAUAUCCCUACCUGUAUGCACUGAGACCCCACACCCAAAUGGGGAUUUCUAGUUGAAGGAGCCAAACAUUUGCAGCUCUUUUGAGGCCUUUUAUACCUCGUGGGUGUUUGCUCCUCCUCUUACUGGGUGGGGAGGUGGGCCCCAUCAGGUGUAUAUUAACUCCAGGCUUUGUUAAGGGUCUUCGUUCUCUUUCUGGGAAUCGGAGGGAGAAUCAGCUGAGAUAAUAGCUCUUCUCUAAUUAUUAUGAAGAGGCUAUUUUUCUUUAUCUCAAAUUUUUUUUCUCCUGCAGCUUAUUUUGGAUAUUUUUUUCUCCUUAUUUUCUCCAGCAGCUUAUUUUGGAUUUAUUUUUCUCCUUUUUUCUUCCUUUUGCGUGUUAUUGUAUUUUUGUCUUAUUGCUUUUCCUUUUUUCUUUUUUUUUUCCCUUUCUUCUCAUUUGUUUUUUUUUUUUCCUUUCUUCUCAUUUCUUUCCUUUUUUUCCCUUGUUUUUUCUUUUGCUCUUUUUUCUCCUCGUUUUGUCAUUUUUUCCCUUUUCCUUAUUUUCCUUUUUUACCUCUUUUCUUGUCGUUUUCUCAUUUUUUCCUGUUUGCCCAUUUUUAUCUCUUUGCUCCCUUUUUUCUCUUUUUUUCCCUUUUUUUCCUUUUUUCUCUCUGCUUUCUAUGCACCCUUUGCUCCCUUUUUUUUCCUUUUUUCCCAUUGCUCCGUUUGCUUUUUUUUUUCCCCUCUUCUCCCUUUUUUCCCCUUUGCUCCUCUUUUCUAUUUUCCCUCUCUAUUCCUUUCCUUUCUUUUCCUUUCACUCUCUCUAUUCCUUCCCCCUCUAUUCCUUCACCCCUCUCUUUUCCCUUUCUAUUCCUUUCACUCUCUCUUUCCCCUCUCUUCUCGGAGCAUGUACUGACAUUUGCUUUUCUUGCUUGCAGCCGACUAAGAGACAGCAGCCUGACGAUCGCAGGAAUUUCCGACGCGGCGAAACCGCUUUUCAUCGCCACCACCACGGGUUCCCAUCCACGGAUGUCCGACAGAUAAGCGAAGGGGCGUGACGCACGGCGCGGCUGAGACCGGGAUCCUGGGUCGGGACCGGUCAGGAGGGGUUUUUUUAAAGGCAGCUUCAGAGCCCGGGACGUCGAAGAAGCAGCCCCUUGGAUACCAUAAGCGAAAAGUCUCA